rnacentral:lncRNA from 1 species
UUCCACCCCCGGCCGUCGGUUCCCACUUCCCACGCACGCAGACGCGAGCACAGGAAGAAUCAACCGACGCGAGCAGAGGAAGACGCCAUCGCCAUCGCCAUGGAUGUGGUGGUCGCGGGUGAUCCGUGGAUGAGUGCUCCUGUCGACGAGGGGGAUCCGUGGAUGGCUUUUCCGCUAGAGGAGGAUGACGACGCGAGCAUUGUCAUGGAUGUGGUGGUCGAGGGUGAUCCGUGGAUGAGUGCUCCCGUCGACGAGGGGGAUCCGUCGAUGGCUUUUCCGCUCGACGAGGAUAACGAUGUGAGCAGUCACGCCAUCGUCAUGGAUNGAGGAUGAAGACGAGGAUGACGACGCGAUCGUCAUGGAUAUGGCUUUUCCGCUCAAGGAGGAUGACUGACAUGAUGCGAGCCAGUCAUCCUAGUAGUACUGUUUUCGCAUGGAUGGAUGGUGGAUGGAUUCCGUUGGUAUGUGACUAGCGACUUUGUUUGUUUGUAUGCAGCGCAUGCAAUUGCGCUGUUUAAUCGAUAUCCAGGCAAAGGAAAUGUAAUCUUAUACGUAUUCAGUUUAGUUUUCCAAGUCAUGCUGUGCUAG